AGGCCGAAUCGGAUGAACUACGCCAUGCGAGUCAUUGUAGUAAUACAAGGCAGACGGCUCAGUAACGCGUAGCCAAUCUAACCUAUGGACGGGAAUAACCUCGGGAAACUGAGUAUAAUGCCCGAUAGAACAUUAUGCCUGGAAUGGUUUAUGUUCCAAAUGAUUUAUCGCCGUAGGAUGGGACUGCGGCCUAUCAGUUUGUUGGUGAGGUAAUGGCCCACCAAGACUAUUACAGGUACGGGCUCUGAGAGGAGUAGCCCGGAGAUGGGUACUGAGACACGGACCCAGGCCCUAUGGGGCGCAGCAGGCGAGAAAACUUUGCAAUGUGCGAAAGCACGACAAGGUUAAUCCGAGUGGUUUCUGCUAAAGGAACCUUUUGUCGAUCCUAGAAACACCGAUGAAUAAGGGGUGGGCAAGUUCUGGUGUCAGCCGCCGCGGUAAAACCAGCACCUCAAGUGGUCAGGAUGAUUAUUGGGCCUAAAGCAUCCGUAGCCGGCUCUGUAAGUUUUCGGUUAAAUCUGUACGCUCAACGUACAGGCUGCCGGGAAUACUGCAGAGCUAGGGAGUGGGAGAGGUAGACGGUACUCGGUAGGAAGGGGUAAAAUCCUUUGAUCUAUUGAUGACCACCUGUGGCGAAGGCGGUCUACCAGAACACGUCCGACGGUGAGGGAUGAAAGCUGGGGGAGCAAACCGGAUUAGAUACCCGGGUAGUCCCAGCUGUAAACUAUGCAAACUCAGUGAUGCAUUGGCUUGUGGCCAAUGCAGUGCUGCAGGGAAACCGUUAAGUUUGCCGCCUGGGAAGUACGUACGCCAGUAUGAAACUCAAAGGAAUUGACGGAAUC
rnacentral:rRNA from 1 species